rnacentral:lncRNA from 1 species
AAUCGACGGUGAUCUCGCUCUUACAAAGAUUUUACGAUCCAGAUUCCGGUCAUAUAACUUUAGACGGAGUUGAGCUCAAGAAGCUGCAAUUGAAAUGGUUGAGACAACAAAUGGGACUAGUGGGACAAGAACCUGUCUUGUUCAACGACACGAUCCGAGCCAAUAUUGCUUAUGGCAAAGGAAGUGAAGAGGCCGCAACCGAGUCUGAAAUCAUAGCCGCUGCAGAACUCGCCAAUGCACACAAAUUCAUCUCUAGCAUACAACAGGUAAGAAAAGAAAAUAAUUUUCAAAUUAUUUUUCUUCUAUAGAAACUCUGUUUUUCAAAGUUUACUUACGACGCAAGCAAAACAUUUUUUUUUUAGGGUUACGACACAGUGGUGGGAGAGAGAGGGAUUCAAUUAUCAGGAGGACAGAAACAGCGCGUAGCUAUAGCACGCGCCAUCGUGAAAGAGCCGAAGAUAUUGCUUUUGGACGAAGCAACAAGCGCUCUUGAUGCGGAAUCAGAACGAGUGGUUCAGGAUGCGCUUGACCGAGUGAUGGUAAACCGAACCACGAUAGUGGUGGCUCACCGGUUAUCCACUAUUAAAAACGCUGACGUCAUUGCCGUCGUUAAGAACGGUGUGAUUGCUGAGAAAGGGACUCACGAGACGUUGAUCAAAAUCGACGGCGGGGUUUAUGCUUCACUUGUUCAGCUUCACAUGACUGCUUCUAAUUGAUACAUUUUGAUGAUAUAUUUUUGGUUUAUGAGAGCUAAAAACUUCAGUUUUUGGCUUGAGUCAAAACUAGCCUAUGUACAAAAAGGUUUUGUAUUUAUUUUUUGUUUUGUUUCCAUAACAACAUAUAUUGUUGUUGUAUACAAGUUAAUGAAGUGAUAUAUAUUGUCUUUCAAGCAUGCCUGUUUCUUGAAUAUCUUGAAUUUUUGUUGACUUUUAAGCUUAGUUGCUGCCAUGGAAGUUAGUCAACUUUCGGUAAAAUGAAAAUCCUCUCAGUCUCUGUUAAUUUGUGUAAAUUAUCUACGGAAUUAUUGUCUGUUCUCCACUUAUUUCCUUUUUCAAUUUCUGAUUGGGUUUUGUGUUUUAAUUUGAUCUCUGAUUUUACGAGUAAGCCAAAAGCAUGUGACUCUUUUCCCCUUUAAUUAACAUAAUCUGUUCAUCCAAUUACUAUAACAAAUCACUUCUCUAAUAACUACCACUCUCUAGUCUCUCCAUCUGUCACAUGUCUAAGUCUUAAAUUCUCCUUCUUUCUCUUAAUUAAUUAUUUUCACUAUUAAUUAAAAGUAAAAAAAAGAAUCUUAUUCAUUACUACUAUAAAUUGAUGAGAAAUUGUUAAAAAUGCCCCUUUUUCAAUACCCCUUUUCAAAAAUGCCCCCUUUGAGAGUCCAUUUUUAAGUUUGCCCUCUUUUAAUUUUUAAUGACCAUUUUACCCUUAUUUGAAACAAAAUUAUGUCCACAAAAUACAAAAUAUUUUUUGGCGGGAAAAGUGAUCCCGCAAUUUUUCCGCCAAAACACUUGUAAAAACCUUUAAAAAACCUUGUAAAAUUUUUCCGUAAAAAUUUUUCCCGCCAAAAAAUUUUCCCGCCAAAAAAAUUUUUUUGCGGGAAAAGUGAUUCCGCAAUUUUUUUUGCGAAAUUUUUUUGGCGGGAAAAUUUUUGGCGGGAAAAAUUUACAAGGUAUUUUAAAGGUUUUUUACAAGGUAUUUACAAGUGUUUUGUAAGGUUUUACAAUGUAUUUUAAAAGGUUUUACAAUGUACUUUUAAGGUUUUAUAAGGUAUUUAUAACUUGUAAAACCUUAUAAAAAACUUGUAAAACCUUAUAACUUGUAAAAACCUUAUAAAAUAGCUUGUAAAAUCUUAUAAUAUCUUAUAAAUACCUUGUAAAUACGUUGUAAAACCUUUUAAACUCCCAUAUUAAAACUUUCUUAAAUACCUUGUAAAAAACCUUUAAAAAUCCCUUGUAAAUUUUUGGGCGGGAAAAAUUUUCCCGCCAAAAAUUUAACGCCAAAAAAAUUGCGGAAUCACUUUUCCCGCAAAAAAAAUUUUUGGCGGGAAAAUUUUUUGGCGGGAAAAAAUUUUACGGGAAAAUUUUACAAGGUAUUUUAAAGGUUUUACAAAUUUUUACAAGUGUUUUGGCGGGAAAAAUUGGGGGAUCACUUUUCCCGCCAAAAAAUAUUUUGUAUUUUGUGGACCUAAUUUUGUUAUAUUUUCCUUAUAUAUUUAUGAUAUCUUUUAUUAAAAGAAGGGUAAUUUAGUCAUUUUGUACAUAAAAGGGGUAUUUUUAAAAAUGGACAUCCAAAUGGGGCAUUUUUGAAAAGGGGUAUUAAAAAAGGGGCAUUUUUGUGAGUCUCCCUAAAUUGAUUAAAACAAAAAAGUAUCAAACGAUGAAACUUUGUUACUACUAUAAAUUGAUAAAUUUCAUUUUUUGUUAGACCUAAUUUUAUUUCCAUUAAAUCUUUGUACUAAACUACUAAUAUAAUACUAUACAUUAGUAAUUUAAUAUUUUUAAUUUAUUCAACAUUCAUAUAUAAAGUUAUAAAAUAAUUAUUAAAAAAAUAAAAUUUUACCUAAAUUUAAAUUUAUGCUCAUACUAGUUGGUGAUAAUUUGUGGGAACUGUUUAGAUUGAAAUUUAAUAAAAGGACCACUCUUUACACAAAUCACAACUCACAAGUGGGGUUUUCUGGGUUUUAGGAAGAAGAAAGCUAUAGUCUUUAUCAUUAUAUAAUAUAUACCGUCGAUUUCGAUCUGGGAAUGAUCAGAUUUCUUAAGAAAAUUCUGAAUUGUGUCAGCGCCGGAAAAUGAACCGUGACGGCGCUGGAGAAGGCGACUCUGUUUCAUACGAACCAUCAACAGCUAAAAGUUCUAAAGAAGGAGAAGAGACGAAGAAAGAGGAAAAAAGAGAUGAAAAGGCGAAGACAGUUCCUUUCUACAAGCUAUUUGCGUUUGCAGAUUCCUUUGAUGUGUUCUUGAUGAUAUGUGGCUCAAUCGGAGCUAUUGGGAAUGGUGUGUGUUUACCUCUUAUGACAUUGUUGUUUGGUGAUCUCAUAGAUUCCUUUGGAAAAAAUCAGAACAACAAAGACAUUGUUGAUGUUGUCUCGAAGGUAAAAAUCAAAACUUUCUAACCUUAUGAUUGUAUCCUUAGAUCACAUUACUAAUAAUGUGUCUUCGUAUAGGUUUGUCUUAAAUUCGUCUACCUUGGACUUGGAAGACUUGGAGCAGCCUUUCUUCGUAAGUCAUCACCUGCGAUUUGCUUGUUUCGAGAAUUGAGGAAGAAAAGUUUUGUUCUUUUGGUUUCCCCAUUGCAUUUUACUUAAGGGUUAGAUAAUUAAGGAGUUGAUGUUGUUCUUGUUCUUCUUGUUGUAGAGGUUGCUUGUUGGAUGAUUACGGGAGAGAGACAAGCUGCAAGGAUAAGAAGUACGUAUCUGAAAACAAUUCUGAGACAAGACAUUGGAUUCUUCGAUUUGGAAACUAACACAGGAGAGGUUGUCGGUAGAAUGUCUGGAGAUACUGUUCUUAUUCAAGAUGCCAUGGGUGAAAAGGUAAUGCAAUGGAUAUACAAGCUUAUAUAUAAUGAUUGGAUUCGUUUUUGAAGUUUGUUACUUUUCUUAAAUCUUGCAGGUUGGGAAGUUUAUUCAGCUGGUAUCUACUUUCGUUGGCGGAUUUGUUUUAGCUUUCAUUAAAGGAUGGUUACUAACAUUGGUUAUGUUAACUUCCAUCCCUCUUCUGGCUAUGGCUGGUGCAGCCAUGGCCCUUAUCGUCACUAGAGCUUCUUCUCGAGGACAAGCCGCUUAUGCAAAAGCAGCAACUGUUGUUGAACAGACUAUCGGAUCUAUCCGAACGGUAAACCUCAAUCUUUCUAAGCUACAAAACACUCUUUAACUCUUUUGUUACUUGAUUUUUUCUUUUGUUUUGGUUUGAAGGUUGCUUCGUUUACGGGAGAGAAGCAAGCCAUUAACAGCUACAAGAAGUUCAUAACAUCGGCGUAUAAAUCAAGCAUUCAACAAGGUUUCUCCACCGGUUUAGGACUUGGAGUAAUGUUCUUCGUGUUUUUCAGCAGCUAUGCUUUGGCUAUUUGGUUUGGUGGGAAGAUGAUACUCGAAAAAGGGUAUACUGGUGGCGCUGUGAUCAACGUGAUCAUCAUUGUGGUUGCGGGUUCAAUGUAAGUAAAAUCCUUGACAAUCACUUCUAUAGAUAUAUAUACUUAAAGAUGUGAGAUUCUUAUUUUUUUCUUUAGGUCCCUUGGGCAAACAUCUCCAUGUGUAACCGCAUUUUCAGCUGGUCAAGCUGCAGCAUAUAAGAUGUUUCAGACGAUCAAACGAAAGCCUUUGAUUGAUGCUUAUGACGUUAAUGGAAAGGUUCUUGAAGAUAUCCGAGGAGACAUUGAACUUAAAGAUGUGCAUUUCAGUUACCCUGCGAGGCCAGACGAGGAUAUAUUCAACGGAUUCUCUCUGUUUAUUCCCAGCGGUGCAACAGCAGCAUUAGUAGGAGAAAGUGGAAGUGGAAAAUCUACCGUGAUCAGUUUGAUUGAGAGGUUUUAUGAUCCAAAAUCCGGCGCAGUACUAAUUGAUGGAGUUGAUCUUAAGGAGUUUCAGUUGAAAUGGAUCAGAAGCAAAAUCGGAUUGGUCAGUCAAGAGCCGGUUCUGUUUUCGUCGAGCAUCAUGGAGAAUAUCGCCUAUGGAAAAGAAAAUGCGACGCUUCAAGAGAUUAAAGCUGUAACAGAGCUAACUAAUGCGGCGAAGUUCAUAGAUAACUUACCUCAGGGGUUGGAUACAUUGGUAGGAGAGCACGGGACACAGCUCUCGGGAGGACAGAAACAGAGGAUAGCGAUUGCGAGAGCUAUUCUUAAAGAUCCGCAGAUUUUGCUGCUGGAUGAAGCAACAAGCGCGCUCGAUGCAGAAUCCGAAAGAGUUGUUCAAGAGGCUUUAGAUAGAGUGAUGGUUAACCGGACUACGCUGAUUAUUGCGCAUAGGUUAAGCACGGUAAGAAAUGCGGAUAUGAUUGCAGUAAUUCACCGCGGAAAAAUGGUGGAAAAAGGUUCACAUUCCAAGUUGUUGAAAGAUUCCGAGGGAGCUUAUUCACAGCUCAUUCGGUUACAAGAGAUAAACAAGGGUAACGAUGUGAAACCAUCAGACGUAUCUGCGGGAUCAUCUUUCCGGAACUCGAGUUUGAAAAAAUCAAUAGAGGGAUCGGUUAUCAGUGGCGGAACCUCGUCGGUUGGAAAUAGCAGCCGUCAUCAUUCUUUGAAUGUUCUUGGUUUAUUUGCAGGACUAGACCUCGGUAGCGGUAGCCAACGAGUAGGUCAAGAGGAAACUGGAACGGCAAGUCAAGAACCGCUCCCAAAAGUAUCACUCACCCGAAUUGCGGUUCUAAACAAACCUGAGAUCCCUGUUCUCCUUUUAGGAACUGUAGCAGCAGCAAUUAAUGGCGCAAUUUUCCCGCUUUUCGGGAUUCUGAUUUCAAGAGUCAUUGAAGCGUUCUUCAAACCAGUUGACCAACUAAAGAAAGAAUCAAGAUUCUGGGCUAUUAUAUUUGUAGCUCUGGGAGUAACUUCGUUGAUUGUCUCACCGUCUCAAAUGUAUCUGUUUGCAGUAGCUGGAGGAAAACUAAUUCGACGAAUUCAGUCAAUGUGCUUUGAGAAAGCGGUUCACAUGGAAGUUGGGUGGUUCGAUGAGCCAGAGAACUCGAGUGGUACAAUGGGGGCCAGGCUCUCGACUGAUGCAGCUUUGAUUAGAGCUCUAGUUGGUGAUGCAUUGUCUCUAGCGGUUCAAAAUGCUGCAUCUGCUGCGUCUGGAUUGAUUAUAGCGUUCACUGCGAGUUGGGAACUGGCGCUUAUAAUAUUAUUGAUGAUUCCUCUUAUUGGUAUCAAUGGCUUCCUUCAAGUCAAGUUUAUGAAAGGAUUCAGCGCCGACGCAAAGGUCCGUUCAUCAAUCAAUUCCAUUUUUUUUCGGUUCUCCAAAAAUCCUGUGUUUUUUUUCUUUUGAAUCAAGAAACUUACUCUGGUUUUGGAUAACUAUGUAGUCAAAGUAUGAGGAGGCGAGUCAGGUAGCGAAUGAUGCGGUAGGUAGUAUAAGAACAGUUGCUUCUUUCUGCGCGGAGGAAAAAGUGAUGCAGAUGUAUAAGAAGCAAUGCGAAGGUCCGAUAAAAGAUGGAAUCAAGCAAGGUUUCAUCAGCGGAUUAGGGUUUGGAUUCUCUUUCUUCAUUCUGUUUUGUUUCUACGCGACAAGCUUCUACGCGGCGGCUAGAUUGGUUGAAGAUGGCAGGACUACUUUCAUUGAUGUUUUCCAGGUAAAUUGCUGUCCUAAUCAUGCUUGAAUAUUUUUGAAUAUCUCUGUGAACUAGUAAUGAAGUAGAAUGGAUCUUGCAGGUGUUCUUUGCGUUAACAAUGGCAGCGAUUGGGGUUUCUCAGUCGAGUACAUUAGCUCCAGAUUCGAGCAAAGCCAAGGCUGCAGCUGCUUCGAUCUUUGCAAUCAUCGAUAGAAAAUCGAAGAUAGACUCGAGCGAUGAGUCAGGGACAGUGUUGGAGAACAUUAAGGGAGAUAUUGAGCUUCGUCACUUAAGCUUCACUUAUCCAGCAAGACCAGACAUUCAGAUCUUUCGUGAUCUUUGCUUAACCAUUCAUGCAGGAAAGGUAAACAAAUCAGUGGACUAAACCCAAACUUUCUCUUAAGAAAUUUUUUGAUCAGUUCUGCCUCUCUUUGGUUUUCUUUCAGACGGUUGCUUUGGUAGGAGAAAGCGGGUCGGGGAAAUCGACGGUGAUCUCGCUGUUACAAAGAUUUUACGAUCCAGAUUCUGGUCAUAUAACUUUAGACGGAGUUGAGCUCAAAAAGCUGCAAUUGAAAUGGUUGAGACAACAAAUGGGACUAGUGGGACAAGAACCGGUCUUGUUCAACGACACGAUUCGAGCCAAUAUUGCUUAUGGCAAAGGAAGCGAAGAGGCCGCAACCGAGUCUGAAAUCAUAGCCGCUGCAGAACUCG